ACCUGCAUUCUCAGCAUUUCUCUCUCAAAUAUGCCUUGAGGAGUGAGAUUUUUGUUCAUUUAUGAUUAGCUCUUCAGCUCAACUGUAGCUUUUCUAUCCAGCCCUAUUGGGUUUUCUUCCUGGUAAUAAAAAUGAUGCAAAACUUGAGGCAUGAAUACUCACAAGGGACUGAAUGCUUAGAUGAUGCAGCUUUUUCUAUUCAAGAUGACUCCUUCGUCUGAUUGAGAAAAAGUGAAGUGUGGAGAUGAGAGGGGAUUGGAAACGGAAGAAAAGGGAACUUGACAAAGGAAGAAAAACCAAGAAUUCCUCAUCCACUCUUUACCAUUCACCAUGUGCUGGAGAUAAAGUUUGAAUAUUGUCCUACCUCCUUCAUGCACCCAACAAAGCAUGAGCUGCAGAAUAUUAGUGCCAGGCCUCUUUGUCUCUAACCUCACCACUUCUUCCCUCCACUUCUCUUUGCUUUGAGCUUCUUUCUGCUGUUUGCAACAAAGCCAUCCAUCUGCCAUGCUAAACGCAACUUGUGCUGAAAGUAAACACUUGACUAAAGAUAUGCCAAGAAUAUAUAAAGCUGGAACUUAAAGGUUUGCUAAGGCUCUCAAACUCAUCUUCUCUUGUCCUAUUAAAUUACAAGGAUCUGACCCCUGAAUGUCCUAACGCAUUUUUGCAAGAGAAAAAAGAAAGAAAAUUUUCAUCAUAAAAAAAUGAUAUUUUUCUUUGUAAAUUUUUUGUUACUAUGUUCAGAUGCAAGAACUAAUCUCAGCAUAUCAAACCACUGAAGAAUCAUCCAUCAGACAUAACUACACAUGGAAGAACAAGUGCAGGAUUAAGAAUCUGAUUAUCCGGAUUUCUAUUCCAGUCUCUGCCAUUUUCUCAAAGAAUGAGUCACUUCAGUUCUCUGCCUCAGUUUCCACAUCUGUAAAAUAGGGCUAAUAAUACUUUCCCUUUUACUUCAAAAGGGUUUUGUGAGACUAAUUAGUUGAUCCAUACAAUGUUUUGCACAUGUAAAAGUACUAUAUGAUUGCUAAGCAUUAUUGACACAACUGGCCCAGAUUAGAACUGGUUACCUGGAAGUAAAAAAGCAGAGUCUAAAUAGACUCCCGAGUAAAGUGAAAAGGAAAACCCUUUCUAUUUCUGAAUCCUGAGAAAAUCCUUAAGGAAGCCCACUGAUUACACUUCUGAGAUCUGUAUGAACCAACUAGGGUAAAUAAUUAGAACUACAUUUUUAAUUAAUAUAGCAGCGUCGGCUAACGCAAUAUAGUUAAAUUUGUGCCACUACUGGAGCUGAAUGAAAGAAACUUGUCCUAUUCCUGGUGAAACUAUGAACAUGAUCUUCUUGAUUUUGAUUUAUGUAUUACAUAUCCUGCUCUGUUGAAAGAGCUUUUGGUUGGGUUUGGUUUAGUCAAGUACCCUCCAUCAUCAAGUGCCUUAUAUUCAUAUUUUCCAGCUUGAAAACCUCACUUUAGUGACAAAAAUGUCUCCAGUGAAAAGAGAACCAAGACAUAUAUUAUUUUUAUUUAUUUAUUUGUCUAACUGUAGCAACUAGGAGCCCUAGGCAUGGAGCAGGACCUCAUUGUGCAAUGCAAACAAGAAACAAAAUGGCACAGAUAAAAAAUGAGGGCUAAAAAACCAGCUCAGUUAAUUGAAGUAUAUAAUUUUGCCACUUUGACGUUGAUAUUAUGUGCAAACACCUCUGUUUCAUAUGAAAAAAGCCCUGUCUGUGCACACAGGAGGUCAACAAUAGCUUGCUGGACCGUAGUCUCUUCCUCCAAAAUUGCUGCACCAUCAGUAGUGCUGCCUUUGGACAGAUUCAGCUGCACCUCCCACCCUGUGAAGUGGUGCAACCAGUGAAGUCACGUAUUGGCAGAUGCACCAGCCACACAGUGGUCCUCAGCAGAGCUGUGUGAAUAGAUUUUUUAGUUCCCUAACAACUGGGGGAUGGGGGGAAGAGAAUUGGUUCAGGUCAAACCGAAAAUGAAAUUUUCCAAAAAGUCCAGCAUAUCAAAAAACCAAAGGAGUUUAUUUUGAGACAAAAAUGUCAAAACAAAACAUUUUGACCUUUUUUCUCAUUUUUCCCCCCAACCAAAACAAUUUGGAAAAAAUCCAACAUGAAUUCACAAAAUAUUCCAGUGUCACCAAAUCUGCAUUUUCAAUGGGGAAAAAAAUAGGGAGGAGGCCAAAACAUUUAACCCAGCUCCAGUUCUAAGUAUCCUAAUGUGCAUUUUAGACUUUAUCAAGAUGAAGGGGUAGGAUUUGGACCCAGCUGUUCAGAACAGCCAGUGGGAAGCCUAAGAAGUAGUUCCUAACAGUUUCUUCUUGCAGAAGCAUGAAAUGGUGGGGUAAUUCAUCCUUUGGGGAUCUACACAAAUGACCAUCUUUUAUAAACACAAGGGCUGGUUCAUAUUUCAAACACAAUGUUUUGUAUUAAACACUGUCCAUUAGAAAGGACACACCUGUGCCUGUCAUACUGAACAGAUUGCUGCCCUAGUGUUUCUGCAAUCGAUGUGGCAUUCUUUAACCUUCCAUCCAUCGUAGAAGUCCAAGUCCAGUGUCCUUAUUUUACGGUGACAUCUCUGUGAGCUCCGCUCCUCUGGGGAUAAAUAGGCGUGAAAGAGAAAAGAGAUGUGGGGGGUGUGCUUGCCAACAGAAAGAUGGAAUGGCAUGACCCUUGAAGGCCACCGUAUUGUGGUAAUCUGAGAACCCUAAUACUGCUGGGAAUGGAGUUUAGUGCGCAAACCGUUAGACUGCAUGGCAAGCUGCCAGAGCUAUUCUGUUCUAUUCUAUUCCAGGCUGCAGUGCCAUGACCAUCACUGUGAUAUCUGAGUGCCUUAUUGAAUUCUAGAAGUUAGAUUGAAAGGAACUCUGUUUCUUUCUUGCCUUCUCAAGGGAGAAUCAGCAGCAAUGCCAGCAGCUCCUGUGCAGAUCAGUAAUAAACAAGGAAUUCCAACCAAAUAGGGUCCCUCAGCUGUUCCCAGGGACUAAUGUCGCAGCUCUGAAAAGAAAGUGUCAUUGUGCUAUCAUCAAAAAACAAAAAUGUCCUGGGUGUACAUUUUCCAAACAGACGGGUGAAUUUGGGUGCUUCCAUUUUGGGGUGACCAUGACCAAUUUGAGACAAAAGGGUCCUAUUUUCAGGAGGUGGGUACUUAGCACUUUCUGAAAAUAAGACCCCUUUACGGUGUCACAACUUGGGCACUCAAAAUCACUAACCACUUGGAAGAUAAGGGCCACACUAUUUGGUGAGUUGGACUCACAUAGAGCAGACUCACAGAUUUAUCAAAAGCCAUGAUUAUUUCUGCUGAGGUGUUUUUGUUUGUUUAUUUGUUCGUUUUUUAAACUCUCCCAGUAGAAAGGAAGGUGUCACACUGACUGGGAUUAUUGCUUAUCCAAAUUUCUCUCACAUCAGGUCUACCCAAGACCAUGGGCAAUCCCUCUCUUUCCUGUGUCUUACCUACAGAAAAAAUGGGGAAGGGGGACAUAACACACAACAGAAGUCAGACUUCGCAUUAAUCUUCCCAGUGGCCUCUCAUUACUUUGCCAAUAAGAUGAUCUCCCUCAUACCACACUUCGAUAUAUUUGACAUCUGUCAUAAAGAUCAGGUCACACAUAUCUGUCUUCUGGUAAAAUGAGUCAUCUUACAGAGUCCUCGAGUCUACUGCUAGGGUCUUUCCAGAAAUAAUUAUUGACAUGUUGUCAACACAUCCAGCCUACCAUAUUAAUAAGAGUAAUAAAUUACUAGCUUUUUUCGUCCUCUCUCGCUAGCAAAGAAAUGAGGUGACAAAACUACAACAGCAAACAGAGACUAACUACCCAGCAAUGAAGUUGAGGAUCCAGACAUACAAAGUGUCAGCUUUCUGGAAGAUAAAUAUAUUAAUUUUCUCUUUUACAAUUUCUUAUUUGAGUGAGUAACUAGCUCCAGGAACUAUUCACAACUGGUACCGAUUUCCCUCUUCCUUGAAAUACCCUCACUGUUACAUAAGUUACUCUAUAUCCUCAAGGU